rnacentral:lncRNA from 1 species
CUAUCUCAUAUAGAAAUCAUGCCAUUAGGAAGUGCGUAAAACGAUAGGCAAAGUAGUGGGGUAGUCCAAUGCUCACCUCUUUAAUGAAUUAAAAGCAGUAACGAGUCGAUAAAAAAUCAAGAUAUAGAUAUCCUGCCUAUAGGUUUAACCCGUUUAAAUCUGUCUUCAUAUUUGGAUAAUCUGGCAAUCAGUGCCAGCGCUUUCUAAUAAAACUUGCCCAUACUUGUCUGCAAUUCUCUAAAUCCGUAUUUCUAUCUUUA